AUCCAGCUGACGAGUCCCAAAUAGGACUAAAUGCGCGUCAAACUGGAU
rnacentral:hammerhead_ribozyme from 1 species